UGACAUUGAGCAAAAUUUUUCCAUAUGUGACCACAAAAUUAACAUGCAUAUUAUACAAUUUGGAGAUAAUCACAAUGGGAGCCAAAAAGUUCGUUUACAACCAAACACAUCCGUCCAUUUCUUCCAACAACCAUGCAUUAUGCAGAUACACGUAAGAAAUUAAUAGGAUAUAAGAAAAGCUGACCAUGCUACAAAAUCUCAUCCUUGACGUUGAUAUCUUUUUA
rnacentral:lncRNA from 1 species